UGCAGGAGAAUCCAGAACAAACCAAAUCAGUUCUCUCCACGGUGACCUUCACUCCGUCAUACCUUCAUCAUGAGAAGAACAUCACUUGUACUGCAGUCUACCCAGUAGGGACAAGCAACAAGACAGCUGAACAUAACAUGAUGCUUAACGUUUCAUUCUCUCCUAAGGACACCUCGGCCUCCAUCAGUCCAGCUGAUUCAGUAUCAGUGGGCAGCUGUGUUAAUCUGACCUGCAGCAGUAAGCCAACCCUCCUGUGACAAACGUCACCUGGUUCCAGAUCAGUGAGGGUGAAACAACACAGGUAGCAUCUGGACUGAGUUACACCCUCAAUGUGACUGUUGGUGAUGGAGGACUAUACUACUGUGAAGCAAGAAAUAGUCAAGGCUGUGGGAAGUCAAAUGAAGUGCAGCUGGCUAUAAAAGGGCAAAAAGAGCCAAAAAACCCAAUGGUGUUUGGGGUUGCAGCAGGAACUCUGGGGGCCAUUUUGCUUAUCAGCCUGAUCAGUCUUUUUGUAUGGAGGAGAAACUUGAGGCUCCACGAUGGACU